GGAAUGAAAUGAAUUUUAGUUUCAUACGGAGAUAUCAGAACUGUUUAGUUUUUUUUUUUUUUUUUUUUUUUUUUAGUAUCUUUGUUUAUUCUAAAAAAUAUAAACAGUCUAAAACAUGUUCUUGACUAUUUGGAUUCUCUAUGCUUUAAAAAAUCUUAAUAUAUGUUAAUAAAGUAUUAUUUAUAGCUAAUUCUUCUAUAGGAUAGCGUGACUUGUCUAUAACAGUUUUAAUGAGUACUUUUAGCUGAAUUAUGAACUAACUCUAUGUUGUGCUGUUUGUCACUAUUUUAUGUGUAUGAGUGUAUUUGCCUACUUGUGUGGCUAUGCACUACUUGUGAGCCUAGUGCCCAGGGAGCAAUACUGUGACAGAUCCUAUAGAUUUGAGUUGCAGAUGGCUGUGAGCCACCCUGUGGGUACAGGGAAUAGAACCCACGUCCUC
rnacentral:lncRNA from 1 species